CUCGUCCUUCAACAGUGGGUUACACUGUGUCUCGUCCUUCAACAGUGGGUUACACUGUGUCUCGCCCUUCAACAGUAGGUUACACUGUGUCUCGCCCUUCAACAGUAGGUUACACUGUGUCUCGUCCUUCAACAGUGGGUUACACUGUGUCUCGUCCUUCAACAGUGGGUUACACUGUGUCUGGUCCUUCAACAGUGGGAUACACUGUGUCUCGUCCUUCAACAGUGGGUUACACUGUGUCUCGUCCUUCAACAGUAGGUUACACUGUGUCUCGUCCUUCAACAGUAGGUUACACUGUGUAUCGUCCCUCAACAGUAGGUUACACUGUGUCUCGUCCAUCAACAGUAGGUUACACUGUGUCUCGUCCAUCAACAGUAGGUUACACUGUGUCUCGUCCCUCAACAGUAGGUUACACUGUGUCUCGUCCCUCAACAGUAGGUUACACUGUGCCUAGUCCUUCAACAGUAGGUUAC
ensembl:lncRNA